rnacentral:lncRNA from 1 species
AGCUUGGGGUGGGGCGGGGGUGGAUGGUUGUCUAUGGUGGGGUGGCAGCGGGCAAGUGUGCUCAUACUCUCCCAUACCAACCAGACCCCCAUACCCACCAGAAUAUUUUCGGUGGUUGGAGGAAGAGGUCACAUACAACUUCGGCCCCAGGGUCGCACUUCUGUCACUGACGCUAAUUUGUUUUGCAGAUUUUUCAAGUUUUUCAGGUAUGUCUGGUCAAGUUUUCUGUGGAUAUGAGCAACUAUCAAGUAUGAAGAUUAUAGAACAACAAAAAAAGCAACAUUACAUGUUUAUUUCUUGCUGUGGAAGUCAAGAGAUUUUUAUUUCCUCGUGAAAUAGAAAAUAAAAAAAUAAAAUUAACAAUGGAUAUACCAUGGUUCUUUGUAACCCGAGUGUCAUGAAGAGCUCUAUAAAAUAUCUGAAGUGCUUGAGGGAAGUUACCUUCCCUAGAGGGAAAAGGUAAAGAUUCUCACUACAGAGCUAAUAGUUUCUGCUCAACAAUUUGAAUUUCACUUAAGGAUAAACCUGAGAGCCCACAUCUGGAAGAGCAUAUUUAUCUUUAAUGUAGCAGUUUGGAGGUGGAGGCAUUCCUGGAAGAGAACAAUGCCUGAUGCAUUAUAGGCACAAAAAUAAACAUUUGUUGCCUGCCUCCAAACCAACAUUCAAAAAUACUAUCAAAGGAAGAAAACUCUAGAACCCCAUUAGAGUGGAUAUCUCCCUGCUCUUAAUCUCCAAGAUCACUGUUUCCUAUUUCCAUGGAAACUAGAAGACUUGAAAUUGCCAAAACUUGAGAGACACUUGAGAUGAAAACCAGAAAAAAAAAAAAUAACAAAAGACAAAUGUUACAGGCAGCAUGUAUGACAGUGUGGUAAAGUUUCUGACAUUUGUUUGGGAAGAUUCUCUUAUUUCUUUGCUUGGAAGAAUGCAAUGAUGUCCAGAAUGUGGCAGUAAUUUCUUCACACCAUGCUGCUGAAUGUUCAUCGAGUAGAUUUUACUCUUUUCU